rnacentral:rRNA from 1 species
UACGAAGGGGGCUAGCGUUGUUCGGAAUUACUGGGCGUAAAGGGCGCGUAGGCGGUACUUCAAGUCAGGCGUGAAAGCCCCGGGCUCAACCUGGGAACCGCGCUUGAGACUGGAGAACUAGAGUUCGGGAGAGGAUGGUGGAAUUCCCAGUGUAGAGGUGAAAUUCGUAGAUAUUGGGAAGAACACCGAUGGCGAAGGCAGCCAUCUGGACCGACACUGACGCUGAGGCGCGAAAGCGUGGGGAGCAAAC